rnacentral:rRNA from 1 species
UGGGGAAUAUUGCACAAUGGGCGCAAGCCUGAUGCAGCCAUGCCGCGUGUGUGAAGAAGGCAUUCGGGCUGUAAAGCACUUUCAGCGGGGAGGAAGGCGAUAAGGUUAAUAACCUUGUCGAUUGACGUUACCCGCAGAAGAAGCACCGGCUAACUCCGUGCCAGCAGCCGCGGUAAUACGGAGGGUGCAAGCGUUAAUCGGAAUUACUGGGCGUAAAGCGCACGCAGGCGGUCUGUCAAGUCGGAUGUGAAAUCCCCGGGCUCAACCUGGGAACUGCAUUCGAAACUGGCAGGCUAGAGUCUUGUAGAGGAGGGUAGAAUUCCAGGUGUAGCGGUGAAAUGCGUAGAGAUCUGGAGGAAUACCGGUGGCGAAGGCGGCCCCCUGGACAAAGACUGACGCUCAGGUGCGAAAGCGUGGGGAGCAAACAGG